rnacentral:lncRNA from 1 species
GUGGCAUUGCUGCAGCAACGACAGAUUUCCCUCGGUCCUUCCCCACUGCCAGGAUUCAACCAGGGAGUAUGUUACAAACUGAAACUGCUCCUACCUCCACCUCCCCCUGAGAGCUCACGGCUGGCUUUAUUUCCUACCAUAAUUGGAAGGUGAGGAUUCUAAAUAAAAGACAACUCAUCAUGCCCCCCACCCCCAAAAUACACUUUCUAAGUGUGAAUUCUCGUUGUCAAUCUGUUCCCUUUCCCUGGAACAGUGCCCGAUGUAAAAGACCAACAGCAUUUUGCACUUUCUGCCAUCUCUUGAGGGCAGUGGACACUUUAGGAUCCUUUGUCCAUGUCAGCACAACAGCCCUGUGAAUGCUGAGCAGCCGAAUUGUCAGCCCACGCUGCUUUGAAGAUGAGGGCAUCGGAAUCUCAUCUCGAGGCAGCUGAAUUGGCUGUGCUCCACCCUGAGACCUGGAGGCCCGGAUGAGCUCCUCGGGUGGAUUUAAAGAAAGAGACAUAUUAUGACUUAGCUGAAUCCAAGUGAGCAGAGCAGAAGGAAGCCGGGUGGGAUGGCUGCCUGUCUCAACACUCUCCUGGCCAUGAAAUCAGGCUGCACACAUAAGUUAGGAGUGUUUUGUGAGAACACCCCUUCAGUACUGAUCCAAGGUCUUUAAAAAACAAAAACAGAACUGCAAACCCAGGUACAGGGAAAGAACAUUCCUUCCCCUUCCUCCUCCUGUGUCACAAAACAAAUUUGAUAAUUCGGUAGGUUCGACUCACAAACCCUUUGGUUCUGUAUCAACACAGGAGUUCCAUUCUCUAAAUUCAGAAUUAGUCCUCAUGACCCUGCACAAAUAAGGACACUCACAUUUCAGCAACAGGCCUGGGUUUGUUGGAAUUUGGAUAUGGGUUCCCAUAAACUGAUGAUUCCCCGCUGCGGUUCGGUGGCUGAGCCUGACUCCUCGUUGCUCAGACUCUGAUGUGGCUUGGCUCCUGCAUUGUUCCAGGCUGUGCUGAGGAUCCAUUCGCAGCCUCCAGGCCCGGGUUGUAGAAACCGCAUUAGCCACCUUUCCUGGGUCUGGCUUUCUGCCUCUUUAGACAGGACUCUCUCUCUCUGAAGCUUAGCACCUGUCGCCCUCCGUUACUCCCUCCUCCCUUCUAGGAGGCCAGGAUAUCUGAUCUGGAAAGGGGCAAGGGAGUGCCAGCCCUUCUCCUUCCCCGAGAAUCUCUGCAUAUAGCCUUGGAUUCGUUUUAAUUAAUUAUCUGAUGUUUCACAAUUCCAGCAACAAUGUGGAGGACCCUAAGAGACUGUGCACACUAGGGGAAAUGAUUCCUACGCCAGAGUUUUCAUAUUGCAGGACUCCCAUUAAUGGCUUAUCUGGCUGAUCUUAAAAAGAACCAGAUAAGGAAAUGCAUACAACUUUAAAUAAAAGCAGUGGCCCAAGAGAGGCG